rnacentral:rRNA from 1 species
ACGGGAGGCAGCAGUGGGGAAUAUUGCACAAUGGGGGAAACCCUGAUGCAGCGACGCCGCGUGAGUGAAGAAGUAUUUCGGUAUGUAAAGCUCUAUCAGCAGGGAAGAAUUAGGACGGUACCUGCAUAAGAAGCCCCGGCUAACUACGUGCCAGCAGCCGCGGUAAUACGUAGGGGGCAAGCGUUAUCCGGAUUUACUGGGUGUAAAGGGAGCGUAGACGGCUUUGCAAGUCUGAAGUGAAAACCCAAGGCUCAACCAUGGGAUUGCUUUGGAAACUGCAGUGCUUGAGUGUCGGAGGGGUAAGCGGAAUUCCUAGUGUAGCGGUGAAAUGCGUAGAUAUUAGGAAGAACACCGGUGGCGAAGGCGGCUUACUGGACGAUAACUGACGUUGAGGCUCGAAAGCGUGGGGAGCAAACAGGAUUAGAUACCCUGGUA